rnacentral:rRNA from 1 species
GACGAACGCUGGCGGCGUGCUUAACACAUGCAAGUCGAGCGGUAAGGCCCCUUCGGGGGUACACGAGCGGCGAACGGGUGAGUAACACGUGGGUGACCUGCCCUCAGCCCUGGGAUAAGCCUGGGAAACUGGGUCUAAUACCGGAUAUGACUCCAUGACGCAUGUCGUGGGGUGGAAAGCCUUGUGCGGCUGGGGGAUGGGCCCGCGGCCUAUCAGCUUGUUGGUGGGGUGAUGGCCACCAAGGCGACGACGGGUAGCCGGCCUGAGAGGGCGACCGGCCACACUGGGACUGAGACACGGCCCAGACUCCUACGGGAGGCAGCAGUGGGGAAUCUUGCGCAAUGGGCGAAAGCCUGACGCAGCGACGCCGCGUGAGGGAUGACGGCCU